CAUCCCAACUUCAAUUAACCGAACUCAUUAAUUAGAGUUGUUUAUAUAUAUGGACCUGAGGAAAAGUGGGAAGAAUAGGAAAAUUUACUAAGUUAUAAACAACUAGAAGGUGAGGUGGAGAGUAUUAAUGGCAAUUUUGUAAAUUAGGACAAUUGCUCAUAUAAUGUGAUGGAGUAUAUAUGAGGCCUUAACCCUUCAGCCCACUAAUUUUCUCACUACCAGCAAAACAAAAUAUCUCUUUCUUCUCUCACUCUCACGGUCAUCUCUCACAAUCACCAUGAGUCAAGAUCAAAUUUCAUCUUUCCCCAUCCUUAAUGCAUGUACAAUACUUGCAUAACCCAUGAGCAUUUGAGCUCUCAAGAGACAAUUCCAAGCCUCAAUUCCUUCUUUUUCUCUGUAAAUGGGCUGAACAGCCCCAACCCUUUUAUUCCCAAAUUUCAUCAAACCAAACCAUUGCAUGUUGAAGAUUCUAAUUGAGAUUGAGGUGCUAUAUGUUCAGAAACUUUGAGGUAAGAAGAAAGAACUCAAUUCCUUUUCUUUGUGAUGGAUUCUAUCAAUUUGAGGGCCUUUGAAUGAUGAGGAAGCAAGUUAGGUUUUUGGGAAGGUUGUAGAAUAAAGGUGAAACUCGUAUUUAGGACAGGGUUCCACCAAAACGGCGACUUCUCUCUCUCUACAACUCUGAAUUUAAUGUGGUUUGUCUCUAUGGAUAGCUAACGUAACCCCGGUCGAUUUGGUCCCAGCCUCGUGAGAUUUGAUGGAGUAAUGAGGUCGGUACGAAUUUUUGAAGUGAAGGGUUCAACACAGAAUUUAUGCAGAAAGUGUUUGGGGCUUGGCUGUACUCAAACGAAAUUGGACUGUUCAUGAAGGAUCGCUUAGCAAGCCGGACCUUUCGCCUAACGAGACAAAAGGAGGUUGCUGCAACUGUAUGUUGUUGUUUCUCUUCAAUCAAACCAUUUAUCAGCCUGGGUGAGAAUAUUAACCUCUUCCUUUCUAUCAUAAUCCUGAUGUUGACUGUUUCGCUACCUAAAUAGUAGAAAUCUUAUUGAAAUUUCAUAUGGUUUUCUGGAGGAAGAAGAUAUGAUUAGGUGCUGGAAGUUGACCAUGGAAAUAAUUGUAGAAACUCAGAGCUGGUGUUAGAAGAACCAAGAUUGAAUAAGAGGAUUGAGAAGUUGAGUAGAACAAAGACUUGAAGCUUCUUAAUAUUCACUCAGAUAAGCAGAUUGAUCGAGAUAUCAUGGCCUGCAAGCAUGAAGUUCAGAUACUUGGAUUAUGCUAGUUGAGCUGACGUCAUGUUAUCUUAUAUUUUGUAUAAGAUUUAGUUCUUUAUGUUUUCAGUUGUUAGCUCAAUUUUGUAGUAAUCUCUUGGAUUUUGUAAUCCUAUUUAUGUAUUCGAACGAUAUGUAAUGAAAAUUUAAUGUUUCCCGAUUCA